ACUCAAAGGAAUUGACGGGGGCCCGCACAAGCGGUGGAGUAUGUGGCUUAAUUCGAUGCAACGCGAAGAACCUUACCAGGGUUUGACAUGGACUGUGUCGCAGGUGAAAGCCUGCUAGCUGGCGCAAGCCAGCGCUUUCCACAGGUGCUGCAUGGCUGUCGUCAGCUCGUGUCGUGAGAUGUUGGGUUAAGUCCCGCAACGAGCGCAACCCUUGUGUCCUGUUGCCACUCCUUAAAUGGAAGCACUCUGGACAGACUGCCCUGUGAAACGGGGAGGAAGGUGAGGAUGACGUCAAGUCAGCAUGGCCCUUACACCCUGGGCUGCACACGUACUACAAUGCUCAGUACAAUGGGAGCCGAAACCGCGAGGUGGAGGAAAUCACGAAAACUGAGCCCAAUUCGGAUCGCAGGCUGCAACUCGCCUGCGUGAAGCCGGAAUCGCUAGUAAUGCCGUAUCAGCUACGACGGCGUGAAUACGUUCCCGGGCCUUGCACACACCGCCCGU
rnacentral:rRNA from 1 species